AUCUCUCCUAAUAAAAUCAAUUAUUUCUAUAUCCAAUUUGAAUAAUUUUUUCAUUAUGCAUUCCUUCUUUUAAAUUUUCAUACUCAGUAAAAAAAAUAAACAUCUUUGUAAAACCAUAAGCUUCUUCACUCAACUCAGAAUCUAAAAUUUAUUGUCAGGUAUAUAUACAGUCAACUGUAUCAUUUUGAUUAUGAUAUACAUGAUGAUGAAUUUUUAAUUUGAAACUGGUGUAUAAUACACUUAUCAUAAUACUCCAGGCAAUUAUUUAUUUUUUAUUUUUAUAUUUAUAAAUAUAUUAUUUAGUUUAUACAUACAACAAUAAAAAGAUGGAUAUACUUUAUGGGUGGGUCACUGUUGUAAGUGAAGUAGGGAAGAUAGAGGGAAAAUUCAUUGCUAAUGAAAUAACCGAUUUUGAGUAGAGUUCAGUUAAUAGUGUUGCUUUAUCAACAAUAUAUAUAAAUCAAAUUAUGGUAAAUUACUUUUUUUAUUAUAUAUUUUCUUUAAGAAUAUUUAACAUUAUAUCUAUUUUCCUGCUUUUCCCAUUUAUUGGGGAAACUUUUGGGAAAGUUAAAAAAUGAUCUCUCUAAAGUAUCACCCUAGUCAGAUUUUCUUUAAGAAAAUGUUCUAUCAUUGUAAAUCAAUACAACAUUUCUGGUAAAAAAGUAGUCCACAGAAAGAAAAAGAAAUAAAUAUUUUAAAAUCUAUAUAUUCCUUGUCCACUCAGAAUCUAAGAAUAAUUAUUGAAUUGGAAUAGGUUAGCAAUAAUUUUAAGUACUAUAUUAUUAUUGAAUGAAUUGAAAGUUAAAUUUAAGUUUUUUAAUAUGUACUUAAAAACAUCAAAAUAGGUCGUAUAAAUAAUACUUUAAAUUGUUAAAUUGAAGGUUGUAUCUUAUAUAUUAUUUUAAUAUGACAAAUCUGUGAAAUGCAACAAAGUUUUCAAAAGUACUAAAUUAUUGAAACUAAACAAAACAUUUUUUCAGAUGUG